GACGAACGCUGGCGGCGUGCUUAACACAUGCAAGUCGAACGGAAAGGCCCUGCUUUUGUGGGGUGCUCGAGUGGCGAACGGGUGAGUAACACGUGAGUAACCUGCCCUUGACUUUGGGAUAACUUCAGGAAACUGGGGCUAAUACCGGAUAGGAGCUCCUGCUGCAUGGUGGGGGUUGGAAAGUUUCGGCGGUUGGGGAUGGACUCGCGGCUUAUCAGCUUGUUGGUGGGGUAGUGGCUUACCAAGGCUUUGACGGGUAGCCGGCCUGAGAGGGUGACCGGCCACAUUGGGACUGAGAUACGGCCCAGACUCCUACGGGAGGCAGCAGUGGGGAAUAUUGCACAAUGGGCGGAAGCCUGAUGCAGCAACGCCGCGUGCGGGAUGACGGCCUUCGGGCUGUAAACCGCUUUCGCCUGUGACGAAGCGUGAGUGACGGUAAUGGGUAAAGAAGCACCGGCUAACUACGUGCCAGCAGCCGCGGUGAUACGUAGGGUGCGAGCGUUGUCCGGAUUUAUUGGGCGUAAAGGGCUCGUAGGUGGUUGAUCGCGUCGGAAGUGUAAUCUUGGGGCUUAACCCUGAGCGUGCUUUCGAUACGGGUUGACUUGAGGAAGGUAGGGGAGAAUGGAAUUCCUGGUGGAGCGGUGGAAUGCGCAGAUAUCAGGAGGAACACCAGUGGCGAAGGCGGUUCUCUGGGCCUUUCCUGACGCUGAGGAGCGAAAGCGUGGGGAGCGAACAGGCUUAGAUACCCUGGUAGUCCACGCUGUAAACGGUGGGUACUAGGUGUGGGGUCCAUUCCACGGGUUCCGUGCCGUAGCUAACGCUUUAAGUACCCCGCCUGGGGAGUACGGCCGCAAGGCUAAAACUCAAAGGAAUUGACGGGGCCCCGCACAAGCGGCGGAGCAUGCGGAUUAAUUCGAUGCAACGCGUAGAACCUUACCUGGGUUUGACAUGGAUCGGGAGUGCUCAGAGAUGGGUGUGCCUCUUUUGGGGUCGGUUCACAGGUGGUGCAUGGCUGUCGUCAGCUCGUGUCGUGAGAUGUUGGGUUAAGUCCCGCAACGAGCGCAACCCUUGUUCACUGUUGCCAGCACGUUAUGGUGGGGACUCAGUGGAGACCGCCGGGGUCAACUCGGAGGAAGGUGGGGAUGACGUCAAGUCAUCAUGCCCCUUAUGUCCAGGGCUUCACGCAUGCUACAAUGGCUGGUACAGAGAGUGGCGAGCCUGUGAGGGUGAGCGAAUCUCGGAAAGUCGGUCUCAGUUCGGAUUGGGGUCUGCAACUCGACCUCAUGAAGUCGGAGUCGCUAGUAAUCGCAGAUCAGCAACGCUGCGGUGAAUACGUUCCCGGGGCU
rnacentral:rRNA from 1 species